CCUACGGGAGGCAGCAGUGAGGAAUAUUGGUCAAUGGGCUGACGCCUGAACCAGCCAAGCCGCGUGAGGGAAGACUGCCCUAUGGGUUGUAAACCUCUUUUGUCAGGGAGCAACGCCGGCUACGUGUAGCCGGACUGAGAGUACAUGAAGAAAAAGCAUCGGCGAACUCCGUGCCAGCAGCCGCGGUAAUACGGAGGAUGCGCGCGGUAUCCGGUUUUAGUGGGUUUAAAGGGUGUGUAGGCGGAAUGCCAAGUCAGCUGUAAAAUCGCGGGGCACAACCUCGCUCCGCCGUUGAUACUGGCGUUCUUGAGUGGGCAAGAGGUGUGCGGAAUGCGUGGUGUAGCGGUGAAAUGCAUAGAUAUCACGCAGAACUCCGAUUGCGAAGGCAGCAUACCGGCGCCCAACUGACGCUGAGGCACGAAAGCGUGGGUAUCGAACAGGAUUAGAUACCCGAGUAGUC
rnacentral:rRNA from 1 species